rnacentral:rRNA from 1 species
GACGUAGGGGGCAAGCGUUGUUCGGAAUUAUUGGGCGUAAAGCGCUCGUAGGUGGGAUUGCAAGUUCGGGUUGAAAGACCUCGGCUCAACUGAGGAAUAGGUUCGAAUACUGCGAUUCUUGAGGCAAUCAGAGGGUGAUGGAAUUCCCGGUGUAGCGGUGAAAUGCGUAGAUAUCAGGAGGAACACCUGCGGUGUAGACGGCUUUCUGGACCAUUGUUGACGCUGAGACACGAAAGCGUGGGUAGCAAACAGG